GAGCGUUCUGUAAGCCUGUGAAGGUGUGUCGUGAGGCAUGCUGGAGGUAUCAGAAGUGCGAAUGCUGACAUAAGUAACGAUAAAGCGGGUGAAAAGCCCGCUCGCCGGAAGACCAAGGGUUCCUGUCCAACGUUAAUCGGGGCAGGGUGAGUCGACCCCUAAGGCGAGGCCGAAAGGCGUAGUCGAUGGGAAACGGGUUAAUAUUCCCGUACUUGGUGUUACUGCGAAGGGGGGACGGAGAAGGCUAUGUUGGCCGGGCGACGGUUGUCCCGGUUUAAGCGUGUAGGUGUGUGUUCCAGGUAAAUCCGGUU
rnacentral:rRNA from 1 species